rnacentral:lncRNA from 1 species
UCUUCCUUCCUUCCUUCCCCCCUCUCUCCCUCUUUUUGCUUUUUAAGGCCCCACCCAUGGCAUAUGGAGUGGAUCAAGAAAAGGCAAAAAGAAAAAACAAAAAAAAAAAGGGAUACUGCCAGAGUCUGGACUAUGGUGACAAUAACCAAGGCAUAUUCACUGCACCAACCAGAAAAGUCUGGGCUCUCUGCUCACAAAGAAAUCCUUCUAUCUCAGUAGCUUAAAAGAAAAAGCCUUAUGUCCUAAUUCUACCACAUCUGAUGUGGAUAGACAGUCCUUUCCCAUCUUGUUUUUCUGCCAUUUGGAACCCAUGGUCUCCAAGGUUCCCACAGGCGGGAAAAAAGAGAGGAAAGGCACAUCAGUCCUCCUAGAACUUGAGCCACUUCCACUGACAUUCAACUUGCCACCACGCAGUCUUCUGGCUCCAACCUAAGGGAGCAGACUGGGAAAUGUGCUAUUUUGUGUGCCCAGGAAGAACAGACAGGGUGUGAGUCCAGAGAUCUGUCUGGAAAGCAGCCUUCUCCUGGGACCACUUUGUUAUCUGCUCACUGAGCACCCACAGUUGUGUGUGGUAGGCUGCUGGUCUCUUUGUUCACAUCCCGUGGCACCCAUAGGUGGCCAAGACCUGAAGCCUAAGUGCUUGGUCAGCCCAGUGGUCAAAGCAGUGGGAAUCUAGGCAGACAGUGUGGUCAGAGCUCCACCUGUGGUGGUGAGGGGGGUCUGGAAUCUGUUGACUAGAACUGGGUCUUCAGCUUGACCCCCAUUCCACUGUAUCCCUUGCUUAUCCUCCUGCCAGCUCUGCCUUGUGGCUGAACUUGGAGAUUCUAAUGGGUGACACAGAGGGAAUAGAAAGGAAAUGAAUCUAGCAUAUUAUAGCUUUAUUAUAAUCCGUUAUUAGGUCAGACCUAAUAACAACAAUAUUUUUAUAAUACAUCAUAGAUUUGCACAAAGCAGUUUUAUCCUGAUGGCUGUAUUUUAUCAUCACAAUGAUCCUGGAACUAAGUAGCAGAAUUAUCAUAAUCUUACACAUGAGAAAAUCAAGGCUCAAAGAAUGGAAACAUCAUGUUCAAGAUCACUCAGAUAGCCUAUGCUGGACAUGACCCUGGAGCCUGGGACUUCUCACUCGUGUCCAAUUCGGACUUUUCCCUUGUGUGUCUUAGGGAGACACUGGACGCGCAGUACUGCUCAGGUCUGUGCCACGGGAGCAAACCAGGUCUUCGAACUUAAGUCAUUUACAUGAUCCAUCUGGACAAAGAGGCCUACUGCAUUUUAGAAAACAAUCUAUAAAGAUCAGGAGAGAAUAUUUAAGUAGGGACUAAUUUAGUUCUUCCAGUCCAAAGGGACAAUUAUGCACCACAAAGAUGAAAGUUUUUUUUCCCCCACAAUGAAUGUACGGUUUACUAUUGGUAUUGCACACUCUGUAGGUUUGGGUAAAUGUACAGUGACAUGUAUCCAUCAGGAUAAUAUCAUACGGAGUAUUUUCACUGCCUGAAAAGUUCUAUCUUUCACCUGUUGCUCCUUCCCCUUCCCCUAAUCCCUCACAACCUCUGAUCUUUAUACUAAGACACAAGUUUUUAUUUUUUAUUUUUUGUCUUUUUGUCUUCUUAGGGCUGCACCCACAGCAUAUGGACGUUCCCAGGCUAGGGGUCAAAUUGGAGCUGUAGCUGCUGGCCUAAACCACAGCCACAGCAAUGCCAGAUCCUUAACCCACUGAGUGAGGCCAGGGAUCGAACGCGAAACCUCAUGGUUCCUAGUCGGAUUCAUUAACCACUGAGCCACGAGGGCAACUCCCUAAGACACAAGUUUUUAAAUGGUCCCCAACCUCAAUCAGUCUCCAUGGCCCUGCCCAGGCUGCUCUUUCCCCACAGAGGUCUUCCUCUUAGUUCUUAGCCCAAUAAUCUCAUCUGUCUGCUGCCUGUUCAAAUGCCACUCUCUCCUCCCUCAGCUUUCCCCAAGCUCCCCAAGUAGAAUUAGUCAAUCUGCCUUCUCCAAGGCACCCCCAAAUGUGCCUCUUCUUUCCUGAGAACAAAUCACAUACAUGUUCAGGUUGUUGAUCUGCGGUAGAGGUGGGCAGAGGGGAGGGGUGCAUGGUAUUUUUUUCUCCUUCAGAUCAGUCCUUGUUUUUCUGAAGGCAGGAAUCAAGCCUUUUCCUACUCUGCAUCUCCAGGGUCCUGUGUGGUUUGGGCCAUGAGUUAAAAGUUCAUGGAAUGAAAAAAGAAAUGGCUUGGGAGAGAGGACUCACCUUCCUAAGAUGCCCAAUAUACUGAAGCUCGAUUCCUAGAAUUUUGAAGGCAGGGGACCAGAGUGAAAGAAACUGGGUGGAAGAAAAGAAAGGGGCUGCACCAGCAGAUGCUUAGAAAUUUCUGGGGUCUGAACUUAAGUCACUGGAAUAUGAAGCCCCUGACAACAGUGACCUCUCUGUUCUUCUAUCCCCUCCCUGUGCUACUGGACUUUGUUCAUCAUUUCUGACCUGAUCAGUGCUGUGAUUCUCUGUGGCGAUGUAUCAGCCUCUCUGUGCAGGGAGCCAAAGAGAGUGUGGAGGAGUAAAGGGUGCGGUUGGGAGGACAGGCUCUGGGUACUUCUCCCAGAAAGAUCCUUCCCAGUCAUUAUGGGGUGUUCUCUGCUUAGGCACUGGGAAAAUCUGAAUCUGCUCUCAGAAGCGGGAUGGAUAAAGUAAAAGGGGUUGAUAAAAUGUAAAAAUUUCCAGUUUCUCUUCCCACAGCUUGACUUCCAAAAGUCUACCAACCCAACAGCAUGUCCAUUGACUCCUCUAUAAAGGAGUCUAAUGAUACUUCGCCCAACUCAAGGAGGAGCAGCGAGGCUUAAUUAACCAACGCUCAUUUCUUUCAGCACUUUGGAUGUCCUCCAUGGGCGCAAAAUUAUGUUAUUACUUGGAAUAAUAAUAAUAGUUCCCCCUAAUAAUUCUGUGUUAUUACUGCAUUUAAGGAACUGCAUUAGAGGCCUUCUGGAUCUAGUUUAAUACCUAUAAAUGUCUCUCCCUGGCAAAACAAGGGAGCAGUGCCCGGUGAUUAUGGUUUGUCUUACAUUUCAAAAUUAGUCGGUUCAAACCCUCCGCAGAGUCCUUAAAAGAGAGCCCGGCCAAGGGGGACCUCUUUUGAUCUCCAUUCGUUGGACCACGGAAAGCACUUAACUUUCGCAAGGCGGCUUGGCUUUCAAGGCGAGGACUUGGCAACUCUGGAGGCCCAACCUAGCACUGAAAAGAUAGGCAUGCAGCCAAGAUAAGCAGGUCCAACCUCCCCCCUGCAGCCAGAGCAGGGUGCCCAUAGCACAGAUCUGAUCUCUGCUGCCCCCCUGCUUCUUCCUGCAGUCCCUUCUAGCUCUCAGAGUCAAAUCUAAAGUCCCCUCCACCUCACUCCAAGACACUGUCACUUGCAGCACCAUUUUGAUCUUUUAUUUCUUCAAACACACCAGGAACUCUCUCUCUCCUUGGGUCUUUAACAAGUUGCCUUUGCAAACCUCUUCUUUCCUGUCCUUACCUCCAGCUUUCAGGUAGGUGGUAUCUCUUUCCCUAGCCCUCUUGCCAAAUCCUUGGUUUCCUGGGCCAAAGCACUUGGCAGAGGGCAGAGCACCUGCCUGUUGAAUUCCAGGUCUGCCCAUGAAACUGGGUGGGAGCACAAGGUAUGCCUAUCCUGUGCCCUCAGUCUGCACAUAGUAGGGGCUUGAUCAGUAUUUGCUGAAUGCAUGCAAGCAUAGAAUUUCACUCUUUCUUCUCUUUUGCUUCAUUUCCUUAUAUUUGAUGCCCCAAUUUCCACCCAAAUCCUUUCCUACUCCUCCUCUUUAUCAAUCAUGAGCAAGGAAAAUGGAUAAAGAGGGAGAAAGGAAAAGAAGGAGUAGAUUCCUAAAAGGGGAGAAAGACUACAGGUGGGAAGGAUGAGGAACGAGGCAAAAUGAGAAAGGAAAAGGAACAUCUGGGAGGGGACGAUCUGAAAUGAAAGGUGGUGACAAGUCCAUGGAUUCUAACAUGUAAAGGUGAGAUUAAAACUACCCUUAAAUUUUCUUUCUCAGGAAUUCUCACCUAUGAGAAUGGGGAGGGCGGGGAGAAGCUGUAAGGAUACUUUACAUAUGUUAUCGCCUUUCUAAUUCUGCCCACUCUAUUAGACAGUAAUUAUUGCUUCAGGUAACAGAGGAAGGCAGGGAAGCUCAGAAAGGUAGAGGCCCCUGCUCAAGGGUGCACAGCAAUAAGUGGCAAAGCCCAACACGAAACCUCAAUGUGUCUGAAUCCCAACUGUCCAUUUAGAAAAGCAGGAUCCCCACUCCACUGAUGGAGCAUUCUUCCUCUGGGGCUCUAGGGCCACCAAGUGUCCUUUCUCUUUGAGAUGCAGAAGAGAAAGGCAGUAAUGUAACUAAAAAGAGAAAAAAAAAAAAAAGAAAGAAAAAGCUUAGCAUCCAGUUAUGUUUUAAAUGCUGCACUUUGAAGAAUGGUUUUUAACUUUUGCCUGAAACAAACAAAAAAUUCCUCUUUUCUUUCAUCAGAGUGAAAAUGAAUUGAACUGAUUUUCCUUGGCUCUUGGUUUGUCUUUCCUAUUAUUAGGUACAUGUCUUGGAGCCCUUCUGCGUAAAUAGGUCCGGCAAGAAAGUUGUUAGUUCCUCAUCAUGGCAAAAUUUUCUGCCGUGGAUUGGGUCUGGCAGACAGAACUGUGUUUGUGGAUUUUUGCAAAAGCAGCACAACGAAGCCCAACAGCAUACACCCUCCAUCACCAUUUGCCUUUUGGAAGGCUCUGUGACAUCAAUUAAUAGAUGCCAGCAGUCCAGAUGCUUACUGACAUCUAAAUAACUUAGUCGCACUCUGUGGUUUUCUAGAUCUAAAUUCCCCUUGCCUUUGGGGAAUGAAAUUAAAAACAAAAGUCCUGCACAGAACAGGAAAUGGUCUUGUCUUUGAUUUAUGUUAUUACUGGAACUGUGGUCCUUGAAAGCAAUUCCAUCACUACCAUAAUGAGGACGAAGAUGCAGUUAACUAGUCAACCCUUCAGGAGCGUGCUCUGAUGCUCUUGAACUCUUCAUGAAACAAUGAUGUACAAAAAGGGGGAAAGGUUUUAAAAUAACACCACGAUACAGACACUUAUCCUCAGCAGGGUGAAUCAAGGGCUAGAAUAUCAUGUGUAAGAGAAGCAAGUUGAUCAUCAAUAAUAACAAGUUUCUUCUAAAACUACUAGGUAACUUUGCCUUUCUUACUCCUGGGCCUAGCUUUGAAAAGGGAAGAGAGAACCGAAGCCUAUCUGUGAUUCAAUCAGAAAAUGCAAAUGAGGUCAAGUUUCUUACAGGCUCGUGAGAUUUCCCUAGAGAAAUUUCCACAGCGUCUAGGCUGCUGCCGGUGCCCUUUGGAGGCUGGGGCUUGUCUGCGGAGAGAAAGGCAGGCAGUGAGAGCCCCUCCUUCUUUCCGGGGACCUCUGGCUGCUGGGCACUUGAAUACCAAUAAAGGACUUGUGAGAGUUUGGGGAAUACUAUCGGUGGGGGGUUGAGGUCCAGCCAGACCCACACAGGAAAAGGUGGCCUUUUCGUGGGUGGGGCUCACAGCCCGCCUCUUUAUCCUUUCUCAGAGUAAGGACCCUCCACCCCCGAAUGGGGCAGGAGGGUGGCUCCCUGCGGAGAAAGGAUUCUAGAAGCAUCCUGUCUGCUACUAGGAUGGUGACUCUGCUCCGGUGAACUCUCCAGGGUGUCCGGAAAGGAAAUCUCUCUCACACAACCCCUCCCCUCUCUGACAACCUAAACGGAAAAAGUGUGAGAGUGUGUGUGUGUGUGUGUGUGUGUGUGUGUGUGUGUGUGUGUGUUUCACACGGCUCAGUCCUCCCCUGGCCACAGGAGUCUGAAGCCAUCCUGAUAUCUUAAGAUUGGGAAACUCUUCAUUUGGGAAAAGCUGACAAGUGAUGCUGCAAGUCAGGACGCUGUCCUCUGCCUUCCAGCGACCUAAGGCUGGCUCAGGGAAUUUAUAGGGUUUCUCUUUGCUCCAACAGGUUGCAGCAUGUGUGUCAAAAGCAGCCUGUUGUUUUUUUUUUUUCUUCCCAGAGAUAGGUAAACAUUGUCCAUCCAAACUAUAUGCCAGUUCCCCUAAGUUAUAAAAGGCUAGACAGUAUCAGAAGCUGGCCCUCAAGGGGUUGAGAAAAACGGGAGCCAGAGCCCCCCAGCUCUGAGCAAGCCAGAGGUCUCACAGAAAGCAAACCCUGGAU